rfam:Picea glauca, whole genome shotgun sequence.
GGGAAUGUAGCUCAAGUAGAGCUCCUUCCUUUUGACAAGUGAUCUAGGUUCAAAUCCAAGCAUUCCCU